rnacentral:rRNA from 1 species
CCUACGGGUGGCAGCAGUGAGGAAUAUUGGUCAAUGGACGAGAGUCUGAACCAGCCAAGUAGCGUGAAGGAUGACUGCCCUAUGGGUUGUAAACUUCUUUUAUAUGGGAAUAAAAUGUUCCACGUGUGGGAUUUUGUAUGUACCAUAUGAAUAAGGAUCGGCUAACUCCGUGCCAGCAGCCGCGGUAAUACGGAGGAUCCGAGCGUUAUCCGGAAUUAUUGGGUUUAAAGGGAGCGUAGAUGGAUUGUUAAGUCAGUUGUGAAAGUUUGCGGCUCAACCGUAAAAUUGCAGUUGAAACUGGCAGUCUUGAGUACAGUAGAGGUGGGCGGAAUUCGUGGUGUAGCGGUGAAAUGCUUAGAUAUUACGAAGAACUCCGAUGGCGAAGGCAGUUCACUGGACUGCAACUGACAUUGAGGCUCGAAAGUGUGGGUAUCAAACAGGAUUAGAUACCCUGGUAGUC